UGGACAACAGACAGCAAAAAAAUACCUGUCUCGGUGGAGGAGUUUAAGAGCACUGCAGAGAUCAUCAGACAGUGCAGAAUAUCUUGGCUCACACAGGCCAUUCUCUUUAUCUCAAAACAAUACCAGCCAAGCUCCUCUGUACCUAAAACUGAAGAGCUGCAGGAGCAGGAGGACAGUAACUAAUACAGCUUUUAAAUUUGAAUCUCCUUGUUUUUACUAAGAAAAAAAAAAGAAAAAAGAAAAAAGAUACAUGAAUUCAAAGCAAGAUAAGAUAUCUGAUUCCAAGGAAGAAAACUAUCCACAGCAGGUUGAAGCUACAGGGGCAGUCCUGAAUUGUUUUUCUCCAUCAAGCUACUUUACUUCAAAAAGUGGACCUUCAAAAACAGCAAUUCCCAUGGAUCGGUACUUAAAAGGAUGUCAGGGUCUUGCUGAGCCAUUGUUGACCCCCUGGGCAGCAAGGUUGUGCAGAGCAGGAGGACUGCAGUGAACCUCUUCCAGUGUCUUAGGGGAGCCCAGUGCUGAGUGUGGCAAAACCCUUCAGGGGGGCAUAACACAGGAUCACAGGAUGACUACACA